rnacentral:rRNA from 1 species
GACGAACGCUGGCGGCGUGCUUAACACAUGCAAGUCGAGCGGUAAGGCCCUUUCGGGGGUACACGAGCGGCGAACGGGUGAGUAACACGUGGGUGACCUGCCCUCAGCUCUGGGAUAAGCCUGGGAAACCGGGUCUAAUACUGGAUAUGACUCCAUGACGCAUGUUGUGGGGUGGAAAGCCUUGUGCGGCUGAGGAUGGGCCCGCGGCCUAUCAGCUUGUUGGUGGGGUGANGGCCUACCAAGGCGACGACGGGUAGCCGGCCUGAGAGGGCGACCGGCCACACUGGGACUGAGACACGGCCCAGACUCCUACGGGAGGCAGCAGUGGGGAAUCUUGCGCAAUGGGCGAAAGCCUGACGCAGCGACGCCGCGUGAGGGAUGACGGCCUCGGUUGUAACGUACUUACUACGCUCGACGAAGACGAGAGUGACGGUAGGAGACGAGAAGAACGACGACCGGACC